UCCGGUUUAUCACCGGCAGUCACCUUAGAGUGCCCAACUGAAUGCUGGCAACUAAGGUUAAGGGUUGCGCUCGUUGCGGGACUUAACCCAACAUCUCACGACACGAGCUGACGACAACCAUGCACCACCUGUCUCUUUGUCGUAUUGCUACGAAAGUACUAUCUCUAGUAUUGUCAAAGGAUGUCAAACCUAGGUAAGGUUCUGCGCGUUGCUUCGAAUUAAACCACAUAAUCCACCGCUUGUGCGGGCUCCCGUCAAUUCCUUUGAGUUAUAGUCUUGCGACCGUACUUCCCAGGCGGGGUACUUAUCGCGUUAGCUCCGGAUCCGCAGGGGUCAACUCCCGCAAAUCCUAGUACCCAUCGUUUACAGCGUGGACUAC
rnacentral:misc_RNA from 1 species